UACGUAGGGGGCUAGCGUUGUCCGGAUUUAUUGGGCGUAAAGAGCUCGUAGGCGGCUCGUCGCGUCGACUGUGAAAACCCGUCGGCUCAACCAUGGUGGUCUGCAGUCGAUACGGGCAGGCUAGAGUGUGGUAGGGGAGAUCGGAAUUCUGGUGUAGCGGUGAAAUGCGUAGAUAUCGAGAGGAACACCUGCGGCGAAGGCGGGUGCUGGGCUGACACUGACGCUGAGGCGACGAAAGCUAGGGGAGCGAACGGG
rnacentral:rRNA from 1 species